AUUGAACGCUGGCGGCAGGCUUAACACAUGCAAGUCGAGCGGAGAUGAGGUGCUUGCACCUUAUCUCAGCGGCGGACGGGUGAGUAAUGCUUCGGAAUCUGCCUAUUAGUGGGGGACAACAUUCCGAAAGGAAUGCUAAUACCGCAUACGCCCUACGGGGGAAAGCAGGGGAUCUUCGGACCUUGCGCUAAUAGAUGAGCCUACGUCGGAUUAGCUAGUUGGUGGGGUAAGGGCCUACCAAGGCGACGAUCUGUAGCGGGUCUGAGAGGAUGAUCCGCCACACUGGGACUGAGACACGGCCCAGACUCCUACGGGAGGCAGCAGUGGGGAAUAUUGGACAAUGGGCGGAAGCCUGAUCCAGCCAUGCCGCGUGUGUGAAGAAGGCCUUUUGGUUGUAAAGCACUUUAAGCGAGGAGGAGGCUACCUGGAUUAAUACUCUAGGAUAGUGGACGUUACUCGCAGAAUAAGCACCGGCUAACUCUGUGCCAGCAGCCGCGGUAAAAC
rnacentral:rRNA from 1 species